GACGAACGCUGGCGGCAGGCCUAACACAUGCAAGUCGAACGAAGUCUUCGGACUUAGUGGCGGACGGGUGAGUAACACGUGGGAACGUGCCCUUUGGUACGGAAUAACUCAGGGAAACUUGAGCUAAUACCGUAUGUGCCCUUCGGGGGAAAGAUUUAUCGCCAUUGGAGCGGCCCGCGUCUGAUUAGCUAGUUGGUGAGGUAAAGGCUCACCAAGGCGACGAUCAGUAGCUGGUCUGAGAGGAUGAUCAGCCACAUUGGGACUGAGACACGGCCCAAACUCCUACGGGAGGCAGCAGUGGGGAAUCUUGCGCAAUGGGCGAAAGCCUGACGCAGCCAUGCCGCGUGAAUGAUGAAGGUCUUAGGAUUGUAAAAUUCUUUCACCGGGGACGAUAAUGACGGUACCCGGACAAGAAGCCCCGGCUAACUUCGUGCCAGCCGCCGCGGUAACAC
rnacentral:rRNA from 1 species